GAUGAACGCUGGCGGCGUGCCUAAUACAUGCAAGUCGAACGCACAGCGAAAGGUGCUUGCACCUUUCAAGUGAGUGGCGAACGGGUGAGUAACACGUGGAUAACCUACCUCAAGGUUGGGGAUAACAUUUGGAAACAGAUGCUAAUACCGAAUAAAACUUAGUAUCGCAUGAUACCAGGUUAAAAGGCGCUACGGCGUCACCUAGAGAUGGAUCCGCGGUGCAUUAGUUAGUUGUGGGUAAAGGCUUACAAGACAAUGAUGCAUAGCCGAGUUGAGAGACUGAUCGGCCACAUUGGGACUGAGACACGGCCCAAACUCCUACGGGAGGCUGCAGUAGGGAAUCUUCCACAAUGGGCGAAAGCCUGAUGGAGCAACGCCGCGUGUGUGAUGAAGGCUUUCGGGUCGGUAAAGAC
rnacentral:rRNA from 1 species